rnacentral:lncRNA from 13 species
AUGGACGGGGAACACCCGUUUUUGAACAGGUGGAAGAGAGUGACCCCCGGGGAGUAUGAUCUGCCAAAGGUCACCUGUCGAGCUUGGCUGAGGAAGGUUUGCAGAGGCCAGCAUCAGAGCCCGGGACGCCCUCUCCUCUCCUGGCGCCCUGGGUGCCUGGGCUUAGUUGUUUUGCAUCCUUCUGAGAAUUGCCUACUGUGCACCAGACGCCAUGCCACAAGCUUGUGUGUACCACCUCCAGGAGCCAUCACCUUCAGUGACGGGGCACUGUGCUGUCCCUGUUGUCCAGAUGCACAAGCUGUGGCUUCAGCAGAGCCGGGAUUCACCGCCAGGACUCUCUCUAGUCCUGGAGUUCCCGUUCUCAGCGCAGGCUACUGCCCACUGGGCCAAGGUGAGGCUUCUCUAGAUUAUAGCAACAGCUCCCAGGCACCUUAUCCCCACAGGUCUGUCUCCUCCGUUAAGGAGAGACAGCAAUAUGACACCCAGACCGCUACUGUGGACCCUAAGGCUUCUGGAUACCAGACAAGCUUCCCCUACAGAGUGGAGUUCCUUUCUCACAUCUGGAAGGGGGAAGGAGGGAAGAAGAAACAACAGCUUGAGCCCCUCCCUCCCUUCGGCCAAAACAGGGCCGAAGUAGGGGCCCAGGCUGGUAGGCAUGAUGGUGGGGAGGUUUGAAGCAGGGGGUUGGUCCCCCCUCCUGCACACCCUCCCUACAUUCCCAUCUGGUCAGUCUGCUCAAUGAAAGUUGAAGUCCGCCUCCUACAAAAAACAAAAGCCUCCCCUUUCCAAUUUAGAAAGCCCCAGAGAUCCGGACCACUCUGCUUGCCUUCUCUUUCGGCCAGUGUGACCAGGACCGGGCCCGGGAAGUGACAGCUGCUCUGCCCUGCGAGAGAGAUCCCAGUCCUUAGCUUGUAUCCUCUCUAAGGCCAUACCCCAGGAGCAGCCUGCCGAUCCUGUCCCCGCUGACUCCCACCGGCCGCCGCAGGGAGCAGGGCCAGAUGGGGCGGCUCCGACUCCCUCCUUGCCUGGCAGUGCAGCCCCGUGACCAGUCCCCCUGAGACCUCCCGGCCUGGCCAUCCGAGAUGACCCUUGGCCCUUCCCCACAGAAGCCCAGACCUCUGACCCUUAUUAAAAACAAACCAAACAAAAUCCGGAGAGAGAAAAAAUUUUUUCCACAAACAGCCUGAGAGAUGAUGGCGUGCCCCUGGCGCGCACACACACCCCAGCCUCAGACACGCGAGGCCGCCUCCACAUAAACACGCUGCUGGCGCGCGGGCUGUGUUUAGGAAACACCCAGGUUUCUCUCAGUUUUGGGAGGGGUGUGAACG